UUGAACGCUGGCGGCAGGCCUCACACAUGCCAGUCGAACGGUAACAGGAAGAAGCUUGCUUCUUUGCUGACGAGUGGCGGACGGGUGAGUAAUGUCUGGGAAACUGCCUGAUGGAGGGGGAUAACUACUGGAAACGGUAGCUAAUACCGCAUAAUGUCGCAAGACCAAAGAGGGGGACCUUCGGGCCUCUUGCCAUCGGAUGUGCCCAGAUGGGAUUAGCUAGUAGGUGGGGUAACGGCUCACCUAGGCGACGAUCCCUAGCUGGUCUGAGAGGAUGACCAGCCACACUGGAACUGAGACACGGUCCAGACUCCUACGGGAGGCAGCAGUGGGGAAUAUUGCACAAUGGGCACAAGCCUGAUGCAGCUAUGCCGCGUGUAUGAAGAAGGCCUUCGGGUUGUAAAGUACUUUCAGCGGGGAGGAAGGGAGUAAAGUUAAUACCUUUGCUCAUUGACGUUACCCGCAGAAGAAGCACCGGCUAACUCCGUG
rnacentral:rRNA from 1 species